rfam:Strongylocentrotus purpuratus Contig134068_fixed, whole genome shotgun sequence.
GCCGUGAUAGUCUAGUGGUUAAGACAUUACAUUGUGAAUGUAAAGGCCCAGGUUCGAAUCCUGGUCACUGCA